AUUUCUUGGCAAUUGGCUGCAGGUGUAUAUGCACCUUAGUUUGAGAGAUUUUUGGAUACCAACAAGAAACUGGAGGUCGGGAGAAAUAAAGUCCUCAACCAAAUAAGAUAUUUUGCGGCGUCGUCCUCACCGGAAGCAGCACCGCCUCUGCCCCGUGCGACAUUGUCGUCCCCAUCAAGCCGCACCAGAGGGAGAUGCUUAGCUGCGGCCACACAAACGGAUGGGGACGUCAAGCCAAGCUGGUGGCUGGUGGCCUACCAUCGUGUCAACUUACACAGAAUAGGAGCAGAGGAAUCUUGAGCGCGGCGUCCAGACCUGGAGUGGAGGACAUGGGUCGCCAUGAAGCAAUUGCCCCUUCGUUGUGAAGUUGCAGGUGUGUACAUAAGCUUUUUGUGUAAAUGCCUAAGAGCAAAGACCUCUCCUGGAAGAAUGCUCACAGCUCAGCUUGAAUUUGUUAUGAUGUUGUGAUGAACUUGCAGCAAUGAAGUGAUUUGGGUAACGUCUUGCUUUUUAAAAUGUCUUUCAUGUACUUCUGUGGCAUUGAAGGAGCGAGGCAAUUCCUCCCAAUAUAGAAUUUGCAGCGGAUGAAGAUGCUAGAAGUACAGGUUAUAUUGUCUUAUGAAUUGUCUAAGGAAGUCCUAUAUUAUUUAUCUGUUGCUUGACCAAUGGUUUGUCGAACUGAAACAGUAUGGCCAUGUGCCCAUGUGCCCAUGUUAUUUCUUUGUUUGCCAAAAUAAAUUUAACUUCCGAUCACAAAAUAAAAGAAUGUCCAUGGAUAUCUCUUCGCAUUGGUUUAAUUCUGUAUCCUGAAACAGCUACUGAACAAUGACUAUUGAUAAAGCUGUUAUGAACACCCUCUUAGUUACAAUCAUAUUUUGUGAAACUGCUUUUACACCGACUUUCCUAGAACUGGUAAUGAGUAUAUAUUUUUAACGCUUAAUGCAAUGCAGAUUUGUAGGGUAUCAAGAAACAAAGGUAUUGUUAGUUAUAUUCUGUUGUAGUAAUGUAGUGCCCGGAAUUAGAUGUACCAUAUUCUCAUUAGCUUUGGCCUAAAUAAGAACUAUUAGAAAGGUUUGGGUGUUACUUCAGUUACAAUUUACACUGUCUUCCUUUAGAAAAUAGUUAUGUUAUGGCUUGCACUAUUGUUCCUUUCUUCAGAGAUAAAAUGCUUCAUGUGGUCGUCCGUGUAAUUAAAUUGGAGAGAAACAUGAAGAAGUUUGAUGGCACCCAUUCUUAGGUUGAAAAUUGACUGUCCGAUCCAUUACUUGCUUUUUUUUUUGCUUUAUCACUUUAUUAUGUAGUUCCUGAUUUUGGAAGAUGUAUUAUCUGGUCAUCGCUUGCAUUUGACUACAUUUGUGCGAUUUGUAAUGUAAUUCAUCCAGUAUACCGGUUAUACAUUUGGUAGCAAAUUUGAAUUUUCUCGGAUAUACAUAUAUCAGAUUUAUUCAUUUGGUUUAGAGUCCAAUCUCUUGGCAUGUGCUAUAUGAUAUGUACUUAAACACCCAAAAGGGUCUCAAAAGGGUCUUAUGUUGGUGGCCGACAAUCUGUUCUUCUACUUGUGAGUAUUGUAGAGUGCUACAGGUGUGCCCUCCGAUUAAUAGUAUACAUUCAGUAUAUUUAGCUUUCUUUCAAAUUGCGCAUUUGUUUCAGU